CCCAAACUCCCUCUCCCUCGCCUGACCCUACUCAUGUCUGGAGUCCAAGGGGCCGCCCCCAGCUCUGCCCAGGGGGUGGGGGGACCCUUCGGCCUUGUACCCCCCUCUCCCCGGGCUCCCCCCCCCGUGCCCACCCAUAGGCCCCAGGAUCAGACAGUGCCCAGCCGCCUGACGGCCUCCCCCCCAUCAACUCGGAUUCCUGCAGCAAGCAGAGAAAAGUCUGCUGAGCAGCGAGGCCGGAUCCCCAACUCUGCCACUUUGCAGGGGCCGGGGCCCUCUUACCGUAGGAGUCGUCUUGGUCCAGGAGGGAAUCGGGCUCCAUGGCGAAUGGGCCCCCUGCCCCUGGCCCCACCUGAUUUAUGAACCAAGGCUGUCUCCAUUAGCGUCUGGGUUUCUCCUUUUGUAUUCCAUCUGGCGGCUUUUCCAACUAGAUGACUGGGUAUUCCUGCAAGCAGGCCCCUCUCCAGCCCUCGCCUUCAUACAGUACAUUUAAAGUAGCAGUAACCUCUUUUUCCUCCCCCCGCAGCCCGGCUGGAAACAUUAGAAGGGACCGAUGCAGCGAGAUGUCUAAAAUAGGAAGACGCCGGGACGCUUGGCCUGGCUGCCGGCGACGCUGGCUGUGGGGUCUGGCUGGGGCUGUGAAAGUGGAAAAGCUAAGAGCACACCGAUGCACCCUCCUGGACUCUCAUACUUUGCCAGCAGUGGUCCACCGAGGGACAACCCUGUGUCAGUCCCUGUGUCGCAGGAUUACAAGCAGACCUUCUCGGCACACAUACCUAUUUCUGUGUACCUAUGCGAGCAUUCCUGAUGGAGAGAUUCUCAGAAGCAGAAAUGCCAUGUCAAAAGGCAUGAGAACUUAAAAUUUGGAUCAGUGUGGCAUUCUGGAGCACUUUCUCUUCGAUGCUGGGAAUAAGCAUUGCAAAUCCUCUGGGGCCUGGAGAGUCCUACCGGGGCCAGUCAGAAUCUGGGACCUCAGCAUCUCAAGGGCUCCUAAAUGACUCUGGGUUCCAGAUGCACAGACUUGCCUCCUCUUGCAGAGCCAGGCCCAGGACACCUGCCUGUCAACGCCUUGACCCAUCCCUCCAUCUACCUGUCCACACAUCCACCCAUCCACCCAUCCAUCCCCCUAUUCAUCCAUCCAUCCAUUCCUCCCC
rnacentral:lncRNA from 1 species